GUUGUCAUUAUGGUGAAACUUGCUCCCAUCUGUCCAUCUGGCCUCUUCAUCGCCACCCCAGAGUUCUCUCUAAAACGGGGCAGUGGCCAAGCAAGUCCCUCCCCUCCUGGUUUUGUCGACCAAUCAGGCCUCCAAUUUUAUUAUCUGCUAGGGACUUCCUCCAUUCAGAUAAUGUUUGAUCCCGGCAACGUGCUCUGUGGAUAUAUAGCUGUAGUUGGGAGGGGGCGUUUGUCACAUGUUACCUACCAGCUCUGUGUUCAGCCUGUAUCCAGCCUGUCUGACUCACAAAGGACCUCCCCCCACCCCAAAGCUCUGCUUGAAUCCAAACAGCUCAGAAGAAAGAUUUACAAAAAGCAAUGAAAUGGCAGGGGGAGACACACCUAAGCCCCUCCGGACAAGGGUGACAGGAUUAAGAAAACUCCCCAUGUCUCAUAUGCAUCAAAGAUGGGACGCAGAGUCACCUCCAUUAGCGCACAGAAUGGAGAACAGACAUUCCAAAGCAAGAACCGCACUGAACUCUGGGACCAGAAAAGCGGGGAAGCACUGCAUGAUGGGGGAUUUUUGCUCCAGAUGUUGAUGACCCCACGCCUGCGCACACCCAGCUCAGCAGUUAUCUGACCAAUUCUAGUAAUAAAUCCUCUAUUGGUAUCCAAAAUACUGAAGCUGCCCAAUGGCAUUAUGAGCUCCCGCGAAGGGACACCGCCCAUAGCCGGGAAUGAUCAGUUCUUAUUGUCUAGCCUGAACAAAACAGCUUUGAAAUACUCCCUUAAAUCAUCAGUUUACCCACCAAGAAAUCUAGUGUCUCCCUUGAACCAUUGCUCUUUUUCUACAAACCCCACCCCCCAUACACGCUCAAGUGAGUGUUCUGAUGCCUGGAUCCAAAAUCUGCAUCAGCUACAUUGGGACUUUAUCUUCUCCUGACUGAUGGUGCUGGGAGCUCUGCUUGUCUCCAGCACUCCAGACUCUCAGCUACCACCAGCACCUGGGACCCCUGGUCGAUUCAAGCUUCACGGAGAGCCAACAGCAGUGUGGUGUUGGACAAAGAACAGGAGCAGAUGCUGGAAAGCGGUCAGACGGAGGUGUUUGUCUCUAAUAGACUGUCCAGUUUGGCCGAUGUACAUAGCAGAGGGGCA